UGCGAGUCGAAUGUUAGCAAUACAUGGCGUACUUGCUCAGUAACACGUGGACAACCUACCCUUAGGUCGGGGAUAAACCCGGGAAACUGGGUAUAAUACCCGAUAGUCCUCGGAUGCUGGAAUGCACCGAGGUCUAAAGCUCCGGCGCCUAAGGAUGGGUCUGCGGCCUAUCAGGUAGUAGUGGGUGUAGCGUACCUACUAGCCUACGACGGGUACGGGUUGUGAGAGCAAGAGCCCGGAGAUGGAUUCUGAGACACGAAUCCAGGCCCUACGGGGUGCAGCAGACGCGAAAACUUUACAAUGCUGGAAACAGCGAUAAGGGGACCUCGAGUGCCAGGUUACAAAUCUGGCUGUCGUGAUGCCUAAAAAGCAUUGCAUAGCAAGGGCCGGGCAAGACCGGUGCCAGCCGCCGCGGUAACACCGGCGGCUCGAGUGGUA
rnacentral:rRNA from 1 species